AUUGAACGCUGGCGGCAGGCCUAACACAUGCAAGUCGAGCGAGCGGCGGACGGGUGAGUAAUGAAUGGGGAAUGCCCGAUAGAGGGGGAUAACUAAUGGCAACGGUGGCUAAUAACGCAUACUAUCGGAUAACCCAUAUGGGAUUAGCUAGUAGGUGGGGUAAAGGCUGCCCUAGGCGACGAUCUCUAGCUGGUCUGAGAGGAUGAUCAGCCACACUGGUACUUAGACACGUCCCAGACCCCUACGGAGGCAGCAGUGGGGAAUUGUGCACAUUGGGCGCAAGUCUGAUGCAGCCAUGCCGCGGGUAUGAAGAAGGCAUUAGGGUUGUAAAGUACUUUCAGCGGGGAGGCGUUACCCGCAGAAGAAGCACCGGCUAACUCCGUGCCAGCAGCCGCGGUAAUUC
rnacentral:rRNA from 1 species